UGCAGUGUCCAGUCAGUAACUGUUGUCCAACAAGGACAUUAAAUUAAAGAUUCAUUUUUUAUGUGGUUUGAUUUUUAAACCAUCUUAACACAAAAUUCAUGUCAUUCAGCUGUGAGGAUGGAGAGUAGAAAGAGAAGAUGACAGGAGGAGGCAGCGGGUCGGUCUAAUGCAGGUACUCAGGUCCAGUUCUGUUAGAUGCAUCCUACAGACCGGGACCGGCUCUGACGGGCCUGGUACCGAGCCGAUCAGCUGAUCCAGGUGUUGAAGCAGUGAUUUGGUUUUGGCCUUGGAGAACCUGAAGCUUAAAGCUUCCUGGUGUUUUUUUUCUCUUGUGACUGAAAUUUGACCUAAAUUGUAAAAUAAAUCAUCUUUUGCUACUGACA